CAGGGAUUGCCUCAGUAACGGCGAGUGAAGCGGCAACAGCUCAAAUUUGAAAUCUGACCCCCUCGGGGCCCGAGUUGUAAUUUGUAGAGGGUGUUUCGGGCGCGGCGCCGGUCUAAGUUCCUUGGAACAGGACGUCACAGAGGGUGAGAAUCCCGUAUGUGACCGGCGAUCAAGCCCAUGUGAAGCCCCUUCGACGAGUCGAGUUGUUUGGGAAUGCAGCUCAAAAUGGGUGGUAAAUUUCAUCUAAAGCUAAAUAUUGGCCAGAGACCGAUAGCGGACAAGUAGAGUGAUCGAAAGAUGAAAAGCACUUUGGAAAGAGAGUCAAACAGUACGUGAAAUUGUUGAAAGGGAAGCGCUUGCAAUCAGACCGGUCCGGGGGCGAUCAGCCGCUGCUCGUCAGCGGUGCACUCGCCCUCGAUCCGGCCAGCAUCGGUUUGGGCGGCGGGAGAAAAGUCCCGGGAAUGUAGCUUCCUUCGGGGAGUCUUAUAGCCCGGGUCGGCAUGCCGCCCGCCUGGACCGAGGACCGCGCUUCGGUUAGGAUGCUGGCAUAAUGGUUGCAAGCGACCCGUCUUGAAACACGGACCAAGGAGUUUAACAUCUAUGCGAGUGUUUGGGUGUCAAACCCGGGCGCGGAAUGAAAGUGAACGGAGGUGGGAACCCGUCAGACGGCGCACCAUCGACCGAUCCAGAUGUCUUCGGAUGGAUUUGAGUACGAGCAUAGCUGUUGGGACCCGAAAGAUGGUGAACUAUGCCCGGAUAGGGUGAAGCCAGAGGAAACUCUGGUGGAGGCUCGCAGCGGUUCUGACGUGCAAAUCGAUCGUCAAAUCUAGGCAUAGGGGCGAAAGACCAAUCGAACCAUCUAG
rnacentral:rRNA from 1 species